rnacentral:lncRNA from 11 species
CCAAAGUCCAGUCCAGGAGUCAAUUGCGGCCCCGGUUAAAUUUCCACCGGCCCGCCCUUCAUCCCUCACUUCUUUCUCCCUCCCUCCCUUGAUUUCUUCCUUCCUUCUUGGGGAUCCAUACCCCAGAAAAGGCAGGCUCCUCAGGAGGAGAGAGAGAGAGAUGGCAGCUUUUUGCAUCCUUUCACCCUGGCCUUCUGGAAAGCUGGGCACACCGGGCCUCCAAACCCAUGAUUCUUGCAGAAGGUGUAAUCACUCAACAUUACUUGGAUAGAAUUCACUAUUGUAACCCUGGAGGGGGGGAAAAAAAAACCUGACCAAAACAACAAAUAAAACAUUUUGAACCAUA